rnacentral:misc_RNA from 1 species
CUUGUUAAAGAGAUAACUGAUGCUGUAUCGGAUAUGAUAAAGCCAUCCAAGGUGGAUGAUUCGGAGGAGGCUACAUUAGCAGAAGAAGGGAACAGAGAGGUGGUGGAGGUGAAAUCAAAUCCUCACUUCUCACAGAAGGAGCUUUCGUUUCUUCUGAAGCUUAUUCCACAGUUGAUACAGGAGUGAUACAAAAUGCCUCGUUUACAGUUUGUGAAAUUUGGCCCCUUUUUGAUAGCUUGUACAUAAUUUAUCCCAUCUUGAGAGUUAAACAUAAAUACAUCCCA